rnacentral:rRNA from 1 species
CCUACGGGAGGCAGCAGUGAGGAAUAUUGGUCAAUGGGCGCGAGCCUGAACCAGCCAAGUCGCGUGAGGGAAGACGGUCCUAUGGAUUGUAAACCUCUUUUGUCGGGGAGCAAAAGACGCCAUGUGUGGCGUUCCGUGAGUACCCGAAGAAAAAGCAUCGGCUAACUCCGUGCCAGCAGCCGCGGUAAUACGGAGGAUGCGAGCGUUAUCGGGAUUUAUUGGGUUUAAAGGGUGCGCAGGCGGAAGAUCAAGUCAGCGGUAAAAUUGAGGGGCUCAACCUCUUCGAGCCGUUGAAACUGGUUUUCUUGAGUGAGCGAGAGGUAUGCGGAAUGCGUGGUGUAGCGGUGAAAUGCGUAGAUAUCACGAAGAACUCCGAUUGCGAAGGCAGCAUACCGGCGCUCAACUGACGCUCAUGCACGAAAGUGUGGGUAUCGAACAGGAUUAGAUACCCGGGUAGUC